CCAAGGCAAGAACAAAAGGGAAAAAAGCAUAGAACAAACCCUAGAGAAGAAUCAAGUGAAAAUUCAUUGGAUUUCAAAGAAUUAAGCAAGUAAAGGUAAAAUUUCUUAAUUCUAGCUUGUGAUCUACCUUUCCUAUGCAUUCUUUUUCAAUUACCAUGGUUAAAAUUCAAGAUCUCAUGAAGGAUUCAUGGCUGACCGAAUUUAG
rnacentral:lncRNA from 1 species